UACGGAGGGAGCUAGCGUUGUUCGGAAUUACUGGGCGUAAAGCGCACGUAGGCGGCUUUGUAAGUUAGAGGUGAAAGCCCGGAGCUCAACUCCGGAACUGCCUUUAAGACUGCAUCGCUUGAGUCCAGGAGAGGUGAGUGGAAUUCCGAGUGUAGAGGUGAAAUUCGUAGAUAUUCGGAAGAACACCAGUGGCGAAGGCGGCUCACUGGACUGGUAUUGACGCUGAGGUGCGAAAGCGUGGGGAGCAAACAGG
rnacentral:rRNA from 1 species